GUUAAGUAAAUGACUCAAAGUUAACAGCUGGUCAGUGGGUGAGCAAACACUGAUUGUGACCUCAUGGAGACCAAAGAUUAUGUUUACCUAAUUUAAUGUCAUAGUAUAAUGCCUAUUAUAUACCAGGUACCCCAAAAAUGUAUGUUGAAUGGGUGUAUGGCUCCCAAGUCAGUGCCCCUUUGCAUAGCUGGGUUGAGAGCUCAGCUCUGCCAACUUACUGCUUCUCUCUCUCUCUGUCUCUCUUUGAGGGAGGACAUAAAGCUGUUUUUAUUUCUGCCAGCAUUUGUGUUCUUAUCCCUAGUGUGGCCAUUACUAGAUCUUUUAAUAUAUUCAAACUUUCUAUCUGAAUGGAUAUAUUUCCAUAUCACCUACUCUUCAAUCAGAGAUUAACAGAUCUUAACUCACAGAUUCAGCACUUGGACAGAGCUAGGAUUUUUGAGCUAAUGUGAGUCAGUAUGGGAUAUGCAUUUAAAAACUAUUUACAUUAAAGUGUGACCCACAUCUGAGAAAAUACUGCACUCUUCACUUCAGGCUCAGUGGUUUUGGCUCUCUCUUUCUUCUCAUAGUCUAUGAGAUGAGAGAAGAUUUCCAUAAAGAUUUUAUGAGUCCAAGAGAAACAUUACUCAAACAGGAUUUAUUUCAAAGGCAUCACUCUGAAAUGUGGCAUGUUGUUUAAAGGGGAAACAAAGCUCAUGUUGGUACAGUUCUUAUACUCAAAUGAAGUCGAAAUUUUGCAGACUAUUCUCUUAAGGCCUACCAAGUGAACAACUUCUUCAAUUUGGUUCAAAUUAGCAGAAUAUAAAGCAUUUUCAGCAUCUCUGGGCUCAUACUUGAAACCGGUGAUAAGUGACAAUAAGAACAUGAUUUUUCUCCAUUCACCCUGAGACAAGGAGAAAGCAACACAUUUUUUGCAGUAGGAUCAUUUGUUUCUGUGACAUGGGUCUUACACAUGGACACAUACUGGAGGCCUUGGUGAAGCCUGAGGACACCACCUGGUGAGGUCACACUGAGAUCCAGUGCAAACCAGGUAAAGAGAUAUAAAUAACUCCACAAGUACAACUAUUUUUUAACCAUUGUUUUAAGAUUACUCCAGCAGUCACUCCUGUGACAGUAACUCCCUGGGUGGCUUUGGAAAGUCACAUGCCGCCUCCCUGUGACUCAGUUUCUUAAUCUGGCAAAGGAGAAUGAGGGCUGUCAAGCAACAGAGCUUUCAGGACUGGAACCAAGAAGAGGGGUUGAACUCCCAAGUUCCAGGCUCCCUAGGAGCUAGGCACACUUUGAGGUACGAGGAUCCAGCUGAGAAGGAGCAGACAUGGGCAGACCCUCUACUGACUAGGAGGAGGUACCUGCCAUUUUAAAUAGGUGGUGGGGGAAGACCUCACUGAGGAUGUGAUCUUAGAGGUGGCACCUGAAAUAGAUGAGGGAGUGAGAUGUGUGGAUAUCUCGGGGAGAGUAUUCCAAGUGGAGGGGAAAGCACAUGCAAAGGCCCUGAGGUGGGAAGAGCACGCCUGGCAUCUAAGGAACAUCAAGGAAGCCAAUGUGGCUUCGGAAAUGAAGAGGGUGGAUAGGAGGAGAUAAGGUCAGAGAGGCAGUGACGGCAGGGACAGGGUUACAGGGGGCAGGGCCUGUAAAAGAGGGUAUUCAUGCUAAAACAAUAUUGUGGAAAGGUGAGAAGCUGAAGUGGCUCCUCUAUGGGGUAAACUGAGGCACUGCGACACAAGCAAUGAGGAUCCAGUUCAGGCAGACAGGUGAGGAACACUGUGUGAAGUAGAGUUUAUGUGGAUUCAGAUCCUUCUAAAGCCAGGUGCUGCUGUAACCCUCUCAUGUGAAAUCUACAAACACUGGAUCAGUGCUAGGUGGCCCGGAAACAUCAAAGUUGGUGGAAACAUGUCUGGAUCAGACCUGGAGAGCUCAGAUUCUGCCCUGGCUCUGCCACAUGUUUGCUGAGUGACACUGGGACUGUUUCCUCAUCUGUGAAAUCUGGCAAUUGGACAACACACUUUCUAUUGAACUUUCUGGAAGCCAGAUUAUUUUAUUUCUCCAGGGCUUCUCUUUCCUGGGGUAAACAAGCUGCUGCUGCUGUCUUUAACAAUGCAGGUAAGAACCUGUGGGUUCACACUGUAUGUGUCCACAUCAUGUGGCCAGCAAUGGGUAUCGAGCUGAGGGUAAAGUGGGACAACGAUUGGUCAAGAGGUCACCCCUCCUUCAGCCAGCACUGCUUCCAUAGGGAGCCACCCAGGACACAGCCAGGUAACCCAGAGCAGGGAGUCUCAGUCUCCCUGUACUGUGGAAUCAUCCAGGCACUACCAGGGACAAAAUGAGCUCAGUUCACCUGGGGCGGGGAGCAGGAACAGCUCACUCCAGGGAACCUCGCCAAGCUUCUUUGAGGUAAGUACAAAAUGAGUUGAUUCAGGUUUGAUAAAAAUGUAUCAAGUACCCUCCAUGGGCAAGGUGGUUCCAAAAAUGUUAUCUCCCUCAAUCCUCCCUGAGACCCCAUGGAGGAGGUAUUUCCCUCCCAUUUUGCAGAUGAGGAAACCAAGGUUCAAAAGUCAACAUGGCUUGUGAGUAUGGGUGUAAGGUGGUCUCACUCAAGAGCCUGGGUUCCUAGUCACUUUGUAAUAUUGCCCCAAUUAAAUCCGUGCCCUGAUCCUUGGAGUCAGAUCGAGAGAGGAGAACAUUGGGGUUCAGAGAGGUGAAGCAACCUGCCUAAGAUGACACAGACAUUACAUGGCAGAGAUGGCAUUUCCUGCCAGCCAUGGAGUCCAGUUGCUAAAAAAUGCUAUUGUGAUUUCUCCUGCAGUCAUGCUAACCAAACAUCCCACUCCCCCAAUAACCCAUCUGAGCUGUGGUUCUUGCUGAAGGGAUAUCAUGGAGUCAUUACCAAACUCCAAAGAGAUAAAGCAUUGCAAAUUGAAUGAGAAAAUCUAUUUUCACAUCCUGAUGAAGACAUAGCUGACAAUGAAAGAGUGAAUUGUUUUAGGCAAAAAUACAGCCCCCUGCUUUUUCCUUUUUUAAAAAAAACUUGGAGUUAUAGCUUUAGAAAAAUAGGAGCAGCUGACUAUCACAGAUAAAAAUGCCCUGUUGCCUAAUUGGAUCUUUAAUAAGGAAUCCUAAUUAAUCCCUCUGAAUAGAGAACUUUUACACUGGUGUUAUCUCAGCCCCUGUGCUGAUGGGGCUGGUUAUUUCCAGAUACAGAAUAAUGAAUCUUUUCCAGCCGGGGCUAGGAGUCGCCAGAGACUUGUCAACUUCCCUGUGAAGGGUACUGCCAAAUGGUUCUGGGACCUCAGAGCUGCCUGUCCCAAGGAGACAUGACAACCUCUUGCUGUAGUCUCCACCUUGGUCAGCCUGAAGCUGCCUCCAUGACUUAUCAACUGCAAAGGCCAAGACCCACAGGACCUUGAACCUCUGAAAGAAGCUGUGUGUAGCUGUCUGCAUGGAACACAUGCUGGGAGACUCUGGGAGUGGGGGUCAAGAGAAUCAUGAGCCAACUCAUAGCAUUUCUCAAUGCUAACUCCUAAGUUUGUGUGAGUGCAGAAAUGUAUGAAAUACACCUACUCUCCCAGAGUAGGUGCUUACGAAAGUUUCCCUCCCACAUCCAUUAACUGAGCACCUACUGUGGGCCAAAUACUGGGCUAGAGCCAGCACUACAAUGUGAAAAGCUUGAAUUCCUCUCUGCCCUCAAGUGCUUCUCAGAGAUGAGUCAUGUGAUAUGCCUGCUCCCACUUCGCCUUCUACCACGAGUAAAAGCUCCUUGAGGCCUCCCUAGAAGUUGAGCAGCUGCUGAUGCUAUGCCUCCCAUACAGCCUGUGGAACCAUGAGCC